GGGCCAGUGGGGCAAGGAUAACGCGCCUGACUACGGAUCGGGAGAUUCCAGGUUCGAACCCUGGUUUGGCUCG